rnacentral:rRNA from 1 species
UUUAGAGGAAGUAAAAGUCGUAACAAGGUUUCCGUAGGUGAACCUGCGGAAGGAUCAUUACUGAACUGUCGACACGAGUUGUUGCUGGCCCUCGAAAGGGGCACGUGCACACUCUGUUUACACAUCCACUCACACCUGUGCACCCUCCGUAGUUCUAUGGCCUUGGGGACUCUGUCCCAUUGCCGUGGUUCUACGUCUUUACACACACACCGUAAUAAAGUCUCAUGGAAUGUAUGUCGCGUUUAACGCAAUACAAUACAACUUUCAGCAACGGAUCUCUUGGCUCUCGCAUCGAUGAAGAACGCAGCGAAAUGCGAUAAGUAAUGUGAAUUGCAGAAUUCAGUGAAUCAUCGAAUCUUUGAACGCACCUUGCGCCCUUUGGCUAUUCCGAAGGGCAUGCCUGUUUGAGUAUCAUGAACACCUCAACUCUCGUGGUCCGCCAUGAUGAGCUUGGACUUUGGGGGUCUUGCCGGCCUAGUGUCGGCUCCUCUCAAAUGGAUCAGCUUGCCAGUGUUUGGUGGCGUCACAGGUGUGAUAACUAUCUACGCUUGUGGUCCCCUGCCAUGCAACCUUCAGCAAUGGAGGUUCGCUGGAGCUCACAGAUGUCUCUCCUCGGCGAGGACAGCUUUUUGAACGUUUGAUCUCAAAUCAGGUAGGACUACCCGCUGAACUUAAGCAUAUCAAUAAGCGGA